rnacentral:rRNA from 1 species
UACGUAGGGGGCAAGCGUUGUCCGGAAUCAUUGGGCGUAAAGAGCGUGUAGGCGGCUCGGUAAGUCCGCUGUGAAAGUCCAGGGCUCAACCCCGGAAUGCCGGUGGAAACUGUCGAGCUAGAGUCCGGAAGAGGCGAGUGGAAUUCCUGGUGUAGCGGUGAAAUGCGCAGAUAUCAGGAGGAACACCAAUGGCGAAGGCAGCUCGCUGGGACGGUACUGACGCUGAGACGCGAAAGCGUGGGGAGCAAACAGG